GCACAACUAAAUUAGAUUAGUUUAAGGUUACAAAAAUGAGAGGAUCAAAACACCCAUCUGCUCCAGAAAGUAAUCCAAUUCUCGUCCUCGUCAUCAUGGGACUGAAAUCCAUCAAACAACGUACGUGUCAUCAUUCCAUGUAAACUGGCAAUGAACUGAAACGUGGCUGUUACUUGAACUGAACAGCGCCGCCGUACACAGUAGUACUGCUAAGACCGACCAUGCACUCGCUCCGAGCAAAUCAGUUCCAAAAUGGCCAUCAAGCACCAACCAACCAUAAAAGCCCCGAGAAAACCUAAUUUGAAUUCAACCUAAAACUGGUUUAAAGCAGUAGUAACAAAAAGUGGUGGUGCUAAUGUCGUCAUUUGGGCCUUGGCAGGGCGGAGGAAGGCCGGAUUUCGUUCCCUUGCUUUCUCCUCCUCGAAUAUAUGGGACCCUUUUGGCUAUGGUGACGACGGCUGGACCACCGGCAGGGGCGGCGGUGCGACCGGGGUGAUGACGUGUCUGCUCUGGCUCAUGCCAACGUGGAUUGGCGCGAAACUGACCAUGCCCACAUCUUUCGUGUUGAUCUGCCUGGUUAUCGACUUAUCGCUCCUUUCUCUUUCAUCCAAUUUUCUUUUUUCCCCCAAAAUAAAAAAAAAUCUUUAGUUUAAAAUCAUGUAGUUUAAAUUAUAGCAUAACAUCAUUUAAAUAGUGGUCUCUAUUAAAUAUCUCUCUUUUUUUUUUCUUAAUGUUUGUGAGCAUCGUUUAUAAUCCAUUUGCUUCAACUUAAGUAACAUCAUUUAUUUCAUUGGUCUAAAUGAUAUUUCUCUAUUAUUGAGACUUGGAUGUAAUCCAAUAAUUAAGAGUUUUCAUCCAAAUUUAAUUAUAGCACACUCCACUUUUCUUGAGCACUUUAUUCUUUCCAUUUUUUUCCCAAAUUGGGCACAAGAAAUGUAUUUGAUGACCUCAAUAUUAGAUAAAAGAGCAAAAAAAUUUAUUAGGUGAACUGAUUUAAUUGUAAUUAUUUUUUUUUUGUUUGGGGUAUUUCAUAUAUAUCAUAUAAAUGGUGAAAAACAAGGAAAUUGAACAAACUUUCAUGGGGUGUGUAGUAGGGAUAUGUGCAAUAUAUUCACAAGGGUGCAUGUUAGCAAGGUUAAUAUUGUCUAAAAUAAAUGGCUGCUUUAAUAUUUUGGUUGGGGUCAACAGGGCAGACUUGAAGGUGCAGGUGGAAGAUCACAACAUGCUGGAAAUCAGUGGAGAUAGGGUGGAGCGCCGCCGUCGAAGCUACCGGAGGAGGUUCCGGCUGCCGGAAAAUGCUGAUUUGGAGGGAAUCAAAUGUGGGCUUGAGAAUGGAGUCUUAACUGUGACUAUCCCCAAGAAAGUGACUCAGGAGACUUCCCAGAAAUGUUAGAUAGAUGUUGCUUUGUUUAAUUAUCUCCACUUGUUGCUUGCUUGUUUUCUAGGUAAUCAAUCACUCAUGUAAUGUUAUUUGGGACGAAGUGGGUAAUCGUCCAAAGUUUGGGGGAUAAAGUGGAUUUAACCCUGAAAUUAAUAAUCAAAGAGCAUACGUAGGCCAACAAAACAUUAUCCUUAUCCAAAGAAGGAUCCGAAGUCACGCAGAGUGGAAAAAAAUACUCGUGCACAUUUCGUAUUUGGACUUUUUUAGUGAUGAUCAUCCAACCACGUACGUUAGACAAAGGAAAUAAAAUGCACCCUUUUUCUUUUUGAAGGAAAUUAUGUACUAGUAAUUUUCUUACCUCAAGCUAGAAGCACCCGUCACGUUGAGAAAAUGAAGCGAAAAGCAAUAAAUCUUACUACACAAAAUAUCAAUUCAGUCUCCUUUUCUUGCACGUCUUUCAUGACAUAUGGAAAGUUGCCCUUAUUAUUACUGAUAAUUGCACAUAUCUUUCUUCGUCUUUAUACGGACAUAAUGAUGGUUGCAUUUGACAAAUUUCAAAAAGCAGUAAAGUUCGUGAGAUUAUUAUAUGAGUAAAUUUUAUAUAUACUGAUAGUGUAUACAUUAUCACCGUUUGAUUCAUGGUAUACAUGCAAAAGUUGAAUUUCAUUCAUCCAAUUAUCACCGUUUGAUUCAUGGUAUGCAUGCAAAAGUUGAAUUUCAUUCAUCCAAUUAUCACCGUUACUGUCAGUGUAGGAAAGAUUAAUCCUUAUUAUAUUAGUUCUAUCAUUAAAAUUUAUAUCCAUCUCUCAUCGAUUGGCUGUAUAAUUAAAUUUAAUAUAACUAAACUAUGUUAUUAACCUUCGAUCUAAUAAUCUAAUGAUAUUCUUAAAUUUUGACCAUUUUCAUUUUGAUAAACUUACGCUAUCCUGCUCGAAAGAAAAAGAAAUCAGAAACUCUGGCUUGUUUUUUUUUCUUUUAAAGAUCUCAAGCAUUAAUGUUAUCCGCUAGAAAUACUAGUGUAAUUCAAUUUUAAGUUCGCUUUCAAACGGCCUACUUCAUUCUUUUGGCAUUUUAAACCAACUUUGGUUGAAUUAAACAAUCUAGAAAUCAAACGCGAAAUCCAUGUGCCGAAAAUUAAGGUCAUGCUAAUCUUGCCAAUUUGGCAAUUUUUCAUUCCUUACCAAAGACGGGUCGCACUCGUAAACGCAAUCUUCCGCUCACUCUCCAUAAUCUAGCCACGUGGCAUUCGAGGAAUCUAACCAAAACCGAUAAUAAAAUGAACAAAAUUUAACCAACAGAACAGAACCACUCAGCAAAAGAAAGACCGUCGCAAAUAAUAAAACAAUGCCACUGCUCCUCUCGCCACCUCAACAGCCGCCGCCGUUAUCUUACUCUAUCCGCCUUAAGAAUGCGGCGAAUUUGAACUCUCUCCGCCGCGUUCUUCUACUAUCAACAGCACCUCAUUCCUCUAUUUCUUCUUCUUCUUCUUCUUCUUCUUCGUCUUCGUCUUCAGCUUCCCGCGCCGUGGAAAAUGUGGAUACGUUCACCAAGUACUCAGGAUAUUUAUUCCAGCUGAGCUCCUCGGAAGCGGACUCGUUGACGGAGUACAACGUUUCGAAAAUCGCCGGAAUUUAUCAGAAGAAGCCGCUCAUUGUCCUCCGUCGCCUCUUCCAACUCGCUAGUACACUCGGGAAAUGGUUCGCACUUCGCUACGUGGAUAAACUCACCGAGCGUGCCGACCAGAUGUUUGAGGUAGUUUUCACUCCAACCUAUACUUAUCAAGAUCUGAAUAACUCUUAUUGAACAUUUGAACCAAUCAAAUUCUUUUUAAAAUUAUUUUAAGCUCGAAUUUGACUAUAUCAAGUUAUAUUGAGAUGAUAAAAGCUUAUUUUUAAUAGUUAACUCCAUGUUGGUUUUUAGAAUCCAUAUUUUAUGAUCAUUCAAGUGGUAGCAGGGAGUGUUUUGUAGUUAAACUGCGUUGUUCUUUGUUUAAUUGUUGUUAUUAUUGAUUACUCAGGUUAGAGCAGAGGAACUGAGAAGGAUAUUGGUAGAGCUUGGGCCGGUAUGUUCUAGACGUAUUAACUUUUUAAGCAGAAAUUUAUGAAUUUAGUCAUGCGUCUAUAUUUUAAUUCAGGCUUUUUUUUUCUUUUCCUUUUGUAGGCAUAUAUUAAAAUAGCUCAAGCUGUUUCAACUAGACCUGUAAGUGACACUUCUCUUUCAUUACCAUUGGCUUGGCUUCAUUUCCUAUUUAAUUUGUUGUCGAGAUUAAGUUGCUAAGGCUUCUAAACUUCUUGAAUUUUUUAUACUUGUGAUUAUUUAUGAUUUUGACUACUAUGAGCACAAAAAUUUGGUACUAAAGCUUUCUACAUAGACCCCAUGGGUGAUGCUGAUCAUUGAUGGCAUAAAUAGAGUCCUCAAUCUUUAUUUCCUUAAGCUGUGAAUUUUUUCUGAUAGUUUUUUUUUUUGCAUUUUUCUUGAAUUUUGACAUCUAUCAUUUUCUUCUUCAGUAGUGGCUCUUGGAUCUUCUUGAAGGAGAGUAAAGACAAACAAGUUUUUUUUUUUUUAGCAACACUGACCUUUUAUUGAUUAUACUGAGAGAAUGUGUGUGCACAAGGUUAAUCCACAGCUACAUCAGAUCAACACCACAAACCCACAAAUGCAAAUAAACUCUAGUAACCUAAAAAAGAUUUAUCCAGUGGCAAAUCCAAUCGAGUGUUAGUUCCAAUUUUCUCUGGUUUUGGGAAUCUUUACCCAAGUAAGCACCACAUGCUUCAUACUCUACACAAUAGCUGCCAUGACACCUGCAGUAGAAUGCUUAGCUUGGGAUAUCCCAGAAUUUCAAGCUCUCCAAAUUUCGUACACAGCAACUGCAAAAAUCAGCCUCUUGAAUUGGUGCGCAAAAGAAGACGGACAAGUAAAAUUAUCUAAGAUAACUAAUUAAACCCAGUGGUUCUCUGUGCAGGCUACAUAUGAGCUUGCUUCAGUAGUUCCUAUGAAGUUUCUGAAUACCAUACAUUGAAUGUUUGGGGUAUUUAGGAGAUAUUUGCAUUUGGUUAGCAAUCAGAGAAAAAGAAUAUAACAAAGUCGAGUUGCAAUUAUCAGAGAAAAAGUAACAACCAAAAGUUAGAGGCAAUGUCAAAAGGAGAAUUCUUCACAUUUUCUCUCAUUGAUAACUGAGCAAAGCCAUGAUCUCAAACAGCUCCCAAGUGACAAAAGUACAAAGAGCUCAUCUACUUUGUCAAACAUGUCCAAACCAUCUCCUUUAUGUUUACCAUCCAGAAAUUACAUUUUUCUGUUCAUGUUUGUGUAUUUAAUUUGAAUUUAAAUCAAUUUGAAGGUAGUAUUGAAGCUGAUAAAAUGUGCAGUUUGAUGAUUCCACUAAUUAGCAGCACAUUGUUUGUAACCAUUAAUUUCUUGCAAUUUGCAACUUAAAUGAGUUCGUACAGGAGAAACAAUGUUGGCCAUACGUAUAGAAGAAUUAAGGUGUUUCUGUAUUCAAUCAAAAUAGACUUGCAUCAGGCCCUGAAUUAAAUUCAUACAUCAUUUGGUGAUGGUUUCUCGAUUAGUGUUUCAACAUCUCAUGUUUGAAUAAAAGAGAACAAUUUGUGAUAACAAAUUUGAUCGGCCAUGUUUAGUUGCUUGAGCCAUCAUUUCUCAUGUUAACACUACUUACUGUAAGUUCAGAUACACAAAAACAACGUCCUCUGAAAAAGCGAAGAAGAUAGAGAGAUAGUAAAGGAAAGAUAGUCCUCAUCUUGUUCUCCAACCUGAUACCUGCCAAUUUGCAGUGGACAUGCAUUAUUGGUUAUUUAGUUCCUUCUGAAGGUGGAGUAUCUUUGUUUAAGUUAAAGUAUCCUCCUUGUUAGGAACACUCUUGAGUUAUAUCAUAUGUGGUGAUUGCAAAAUCAAAGUUGAUUAAAAAAAAAGUGCAUGCUUGUGAAUUUCAAGCAUUUAAAUUAUUAUAAGCUGGAGAUGUUUGAGUAGUAUUUCAUGAUUUUGUUCAAGAAACAGCAUUUCAUACAUUCUAGGUCCCCUGUUUUCAUUCUAAUAGCAUUGUUGCAUAAUCCUGAAAGGGACUGCAUUAAUGUUAUGCAACUACAUUGUUUUACGAUAUUUUAUUUACUUUAUUUUAACCAGGCACAUCUUACACUCUACUUUGACAUAUUCUUCCAGGAUUUGAUACCACCUUCAUAUUUGGAUGAGCUCUCACUGCUUCAAGAUCGAAUAGCACCUUUUUCUUCUGAUGUUGCUUUUGAUAUGAUAGAGAGAGAGCUUGAGUUACCAAUAGAUGCUAUUUUCUCAGAGAUCUCGCCUGAGCCUGUAGCUGCAGCAUCUCUUGGGCAGGUUUUCGGUUAUUCAUGCUUAUUUGUAACUUAUUAUUUAGAUUCUAACUCAUAUUGAGUACUUCAUAUGGUGACAAUAACAAAAUUAAUGCUGGUUGUGGUUGUCCCUAAUUUUUAACCGUAUAACUAAAGGUUUGUUAUCUUUUCUUUAUCUUUGGGUCUGGAAAGGUUUAUCAAGCUAGGCUUCGUUCUAAUGGACAACUAGUUGCUGUCAAGGUUCAAAGGCCAGGAGUUCAGGCAGCAAUCUCUCUCGACAUAUUAAUUUUGCGUUACCUUGCAGGAUUAAUAAAGAGAGCUGGCAAAUUUAACUCUGACCUUCAGGUAGUCUUUCGUGAAAGAGAUAAAUGAUUCUUUUGUGUACAAAGAAGCGGAAAAUAUGUAGUUUGGUCACAUGAUCCUUGCAUUUCCUAGGCUGGAAAGUCUACAACUAGUGUUGCCAGGCAAUGUAGGCUGAAUCCUAUGAAUUGGUGCAUGUAUUGUGGCCUUAGGAAUACUUCCUGAAAGGAGGUCUUUGUGAUCUUUUCUUGUGGAGGUUAUACCUCCUUAUAUCUAGAUCCACUUGUAAUUAAAUUACAAUAAAUUUAGUUUUAUUAGUGUAAUAUAGGGGUUUGACUGUCUGAUCUUCAACUCGUAGGGUAUCGUUGAUGAGUGGGCAUCAAGUCUUUUUCGGGUAUGUAUCCAUCAUUUUACACUUGAUUGCUCAUAUGUAGCUACACUUCCAUGGUUGCAUGUAUGUGACUGCUAGUUAGGGCAUUCAUCCAAAUUCUCAGUGCUAAGACAAGUUUGAAGGUUGAGACUAAAUGAAUCUCCCAAAAGAAGUUCGCAGUUAGUUGCCUAUGGAAAUAACCUUACAAGAUGAGGUAACUUAAGGAGUCCUAAGUUCAUGCACGUGAACAGCAUUCUUACUUAUUAAAAGUGGCUUGAGUCAAAAUCUUAUUCACAUUACGGCAUCUUUUUAUGAGGGGUGAGCAGCAUUAGAGUGAAACUCCUAUUUUGUUAGAUCAAGGUAACUUAUGGUCCAUGCAAUAUUGUUCCUUUCAUGUGUAAUUUCAGUGUUCAGAAGCAUUAUUCAUUUAGAAGAAGGGGAAUGGAUGAUUUAUGAUCCUUUUAAGCACUAAUAUGAAUAGAAGUUUUCUGUUAUUUGAAUAGAUGUAUCUCAUGUAAUUUGUGUAUAAAAAUGGAAUCACUUGCUGCCAAAAUACUAUAGCAGCCACAGUUAUCAUACCCUGAAUCACUUACUGUUUAAAUACCACAGUAUUCAGGCUACCAUACACCAUGUUUUGUUCUCACAAUUUAAAUUCUGCUUGUUAAUCUCCAUCACAAGAUCAAAAGAGGAAUAUAUUCUUAGGGCUUUGUAUUGAAUACAGGUAAUCAAAUUGAAUGCAGGAGAUGGACUACAUACGAGAAGCCAGCAAUGGAGUUAAAUUCAGGUACAAGGUCAAUUUCGGCAAAUAUGAAUUCCAAAAUUUUAACUCAUAAUCAUAUUGCACUUAUUAUGUGUAUAUGUAUCUGUAUGAUGCUUCUGGAGUCUCUUUUCAGCUCAUCAUGAGAGCUCGUUUUAGCUUUACAGGCUAACAUGAAACCUAAUCUGGAGCAGGACCCAAUGAAUCAUCUAACUGUUGAAAAUCUUUGCAUUGCGAUUUAUGAAUUAAUCAGGGUCGUCAGUCAACUCUUUCUGCUAAGAUAAAUUUGGCAAGUAUCUGUUGGAUUCUAUAACCGUCUCACAGUAUCUUAUGUCUACGAUGCAUUGGAAAAAGUUUCGCCUUUCAACCCCUUCUUGAAAGAAUGUGUGUAUAAGUAUCUAAGUUAAUCUUUUCUUGUGACAUAAUUUUUUGUUUUGGGGUACAUUGCUAUAACGCUGACCAAUCUGUAAUGUGAUGUGGUUGUAUGGUUGCAUGCCAAUCAAGAGUUAUUGCUAGAAAUGUUGGCUGUUAUAGUCAGCUUGAUUACGAAUGGAACUGAUAUAUAUUCAGUCAACCUUGGUUUAGUUUCUAUUAUUUUGUAUUGGGACUGGGCUUUUUAGUCAUAUUUGAGCCAUGAAUCUCACGAUCCCUUCUGAGUUCAACCUCCACAGAAAUGCCUAGUUUCUCACUCAUUUGUCUUAUUGGUUGAUUAUAUUGACCAUAUUUUCUGUCUUUGUAUGUUUUAACUAUUGCCCUGUUGUGCUAUGCAGGCAAUUAUAUGGUGGAAUAAAAGAUGUUGUAGUUCCCGAAAUAUUUAUGAAUCAAACAACUCGCAAGAUCCUUGUCAUGAAAUGGGUGGAGGUAAUAUUGAAGGUCCUUGUCACAACUACCAUUGAUUUAGCUCGUUUUAACAAACCAAUUAAGUUUUCUGCUAGCCACUGCAUAAAGAACUCAGAAAUUUGUUGGGGCAUAAAAUUAAAAUAAAGAAAGGGGCUCAGUAGGAAAGCCCUGUUUGGAAUUCACUAACUUUCUUGGUCAACAUUAGCUUCCUACUUUAGUCCUCAAUAAAUUAACUGCAGAACCAACCUAGCUAUUUACAAGAUUCGCCCCUGGCCACCCAAUAAAAUUACUUCUUGCUUCUAGUUUGCUUGGUUUUUGGGUUGUCUAGAAUCACGUUUUGCAAGAAAAGUGCCUAUCUGGUCGUGCUUCUUCUCACUUGACAUGGAGCUACCUUCAACAAAAUUUGCAUUAUCUUAGGUCAUCUAAGACUUGACAUCUAGGACAACUUGUACGGGCAUUUUUAUUUCAUUUGUUACAAAGUUAAGGCAUUUUAGGAUCAGGCUGAAUGUUUCUGCUUGCUCAUAUAGCUAACUAUUUAUCUUUGUUCUUCACUGUUAACCACCAAAUCCAUACUCUGCAUUUUAGAACAAUACCUCUAGAAAGGGGUACUAUCAUAACUUAAAUGUUAAAUCAUACAUCUAGACGUGUUGUUCUCAUUGUUUAUUCCCAGGAUUACAUAGUUCAAUAUCUGUUCACUUGCUAAUAUGAAGGAUAAGUGUCAUAUAGUAUAAUUUAUGCAUUCAUCUUCCAAAACUAGUUCAAUAUUAUCCUCGUAUAAUUCAAAUUUGGUGAUCUCUAGGGACAAAAGCUGGCCGAAGUGAAGGAUCUCUAUUUGGUUGAGGUCAAAUCACGAAACCGUUUUCUGUUCUCUUUUUUUUUCCCCCUAUGUUUUCAGAUUGUCUGCCAUAUAGCACAAUGUUGUAGACCUAAAAGCCGCACUCUGAAUUCACACAGGUAGGAGUUUAUUGCUCAUUCAAUCAACUUCUGGAAAGAGGGUUCUAUCAUGCAGAUCCACAUCCUGGAAACUUACUUCGCACAUAUGAUGGGAAACUUGCAUACUUAGGUACUCUCUUGAACUUACAUCUAUUAUGAAGCAUAUUAAGAUUUAGUUAACACAACUAAUGGUAAACGGAAAUACAUAAUGCUGUAUUUAAUUGCCAAUAGCUCCUGAUUUUCCUUUUCCUUUCCCCUUUUUCUUCUCGUGUUUAGGUUUUAACAUUAUGAUUCCUUGUGUUUAGGUUCUAACAUUAUGAUUUCCCUUUUUUCUUCUUGUGUUUAGGUUUGAACAUUAUGAUUUUGCCUGUUUAGUUGCCUUGAUUGAAGCUGAAACCUUAUUUUGCCAUUCUAGUGUAAUCAUAAUUAAAUUUACUGCUUAAACUAGUCAAAUUAACUUCCCUGUAUUUUCAACUUCAGACUUCGGUAUGAUGGGUGAAUUCAAACAAGAACUUCGUGAUGGUUUUAUUGAAGCUUGUCUUCAUCUUGUAAAUCGUGAUUAUGAUGCAUUGGCCAAGGACUUCGUGACUCUUGGGUAGAUGAUCAUGUUUUCAUUCAAUUGCUGAAGAAAUUGGUUCUACCCUUGAUGGCAUUGAUUAAACACUGUUUACUUGUUUACUUGACAGACUUCUUCCACCAACUGCAGACAAGGAAGCUGUUACAGUGGCACUAACAGGUUAAAAUUUGCUUUUCAUAAUGUGAACUCUUGUGUAUGAAUCUGAAGAGGUGACGUCAAUAUAUUAUGUAUGGGUUCAUUGAUAGUUUUCCGGCCUCCGUAGGUGUUUUUCGAGAUGCCAUUGCCAAAGGAGUUCGCAAUAUAAGUUUUGGGGAUCUUCUGGGAGAUUUGGGAGUUACCAUGUAAAGUUCUGAUUUUGAGCCUUUUAUUGAAUAAUUACAUGUAUCUCAUCGUAGGAAAUCACAAAAUUAGAGAAUAGACUUGUACUAUUGACUGAAGAACUAACCUAGCAUUUUGAGUUUCACUUCCGUUAUUUAAAAAGAAAAAACAAAUCAUUUAACUAGAUGGUGAUAUUGUGAAAUGGUUGUUCAUGAAUAUAUAUAUAUAUAUAUAUAUAUUAGAGAUUCCUUUACAUGAAAGUGUUCUUUUCAAUCAAUAUUCUCUAGGUUGCAUGAGAGUUGUGCUAAACAUGCUUCAAUGUUUUUUGUAUAUUUUUUCCCAUUUGAUACAUUGGUGCCUAAGUUGAAUAUGCAAUCUUCAGCAUACACCUUGGAUAAAAGUCUGAACUAUGAACCUGCAAAACGAUGACAUUUAAGUAAAAUCCGUUGUUGUCCUUCAGAAAGCAUACCUAAAUAUGUUCUUCUUUCUUUUUAUUCUGAAAAAAAUCAUAUAUGGUUGAUUUUUUCUUCUCAUCAUAAACAUUGUUUCAAUAAUUGGCAGGUAUAAGUUCAAAUUCCAGAUACCAUCGUACUUCUCUCUUGUCAUUCGGAGGUGCCCAUCUUUUCCUGUUCAAUUCUAGCAGAAUAGUGUCACUAUACUCACUAGAAAAUCAAAGUAAAUAAAGCAGAUGUUUGUUGUAAGAAUUUCUUGUUCUUUUAGCCCCGUACAUCCUUCUAGUAACCUUAGGAAAUUGAUUUCCUUCUAGCUAUUUUGCAUUUUAAUCCACCAUCCAAAUUCAUUACUUGUUUCCGGCAAACUUCCAGCCUUGCUGUUUUGGAGGGCAUUGCUAUCAGCUUUGAUCCAAAUUACAAAGUUUUGGGUAGUACCUACCCAUGGAUAGCCAGGAAAGUACUGACCGACAGCUCAUUAAAGCUGCAAUUGUCGCUUCAAGCUAUUCUCUAUAAGGUAAAUUUGUGGAUACAAUUCCUGUCUCUGCUGAAGAUGCAAUCUAACUGUAUGUCAUUGUUUUAUCUGCUAUAUCAUCUACCACCGCUUUAUCCUUGUCAAAACCCACAGCCUGAUUGACUAAUUUUCAUGUCAGGAUGGUGUGUUCAGGAUUGACCGUCUGGAGUCUCUGGUCACAGAGGUGAGAUGGUUGCAUGGGAAUUUUUUUGCCCUUAAAUAGAUUUUUUUUUCUUUGAAAAGAUUAGUUUUAUUCAUUUCAUGUCUCUAAAGCAAGUUGUCUGCUGACCUCUCUUUGUCCCGAUAUUUUCUGCUGAAUCAUUGGCUAAUCUGCUAUUGCCACUAAAGAUUCUAUUUGCACAGUAAUGUGGAGCAUCUGAAGAGUAUUCUGCUUUUGUUACUAAUUUUUUGACUGAAAUAUUCUUUCUUUAGUUCCUAAAUUUCAUUAUUCCAUUCUAUUCCCUCUCUCAGUUUGGUAUUUUCAUACCACUAGCUAAUUUCUUUGAAAACCUUGAAUGCUUUGGCAGUCCCUACGUGCUCGGACAGAAAGAUCGAUCAGAAAACAAAUUGAAGAUGGUGAUUCCCAUAUUAUUGUCAAGGAAGUCCUUUCCUUUACAUUGACUGAAAAGGUUUGUUGCUUGUUCAUGCAUUAUUGCCGUUGAAGGGACUAGAAUUUUGCUAUUCAGUGAAGAGAAAGGAAAGUUAACUUACUAAAAAUUUUGCAGGGGGCUUUUGUUAGAGAGAUAAUUCUUGAAGAAUUUGCGAAGGUAUAGUAGGUUAAAGGAUUUUUGUUUAAUAGUUUUCUGAUGCAUAUAAGAGAUGGAACCAAGGUAGCGGAUGGUCCAUGAACAUUUAUAUCUUGAUUAAAAUACAAAACCCUUCUCCAAUCCAUUACAGCAAAAUAACAAACAAGAAGCUGAAUUUUCUCCAAGCAUGUAAAUCCAACAGCUUAAUUCACAGUGUUGGAGAGCCUUGACAGUCUUUGUUCAGAAAGAGGAAAGUAAAGCUAUCAUAUUUUUUCUUGUGUUUGAAAAAUUGCACGCAUGCAGCAAUUUAUAGCAUCUUUAAAAGAUUGGUUCACCUAAUCACAUUCUGAAAGAGCUUCUGCAUUAUGGUUCUAAAUCCACAAGAUUCUAAACUGCCAAAUAGUUGAUGGUGUUAAAAUUCUAAAUCCACAAGAUUCUGCAUUGGUGUAUAAGAACUACUUUUUCUUCUGUAUCUUAACAUGCUGCUGUAGAUGCCUCAGGUUACUGAUAGUCUUACGAAUUUUUCUAGGGAUUGGAUGCAUUUGGACUUGCAACUCUUGAUUCUGUAGCAUCUUCACUUACUGCAAGAGUCCCAUUCUCUGGUUCUCCAUCAUUUUCACUAAUGACUGAUGAAGAUAGUGCAAAUUUGAGAACAUUGCAGCGCCUUGUGUCGUUGCUAUCAGGUCUUCAAGAGGAUAGAAAAACUGGCCUGGUAAGAGAUUUUCAUUUCAAUAGUUUAACUAGUCGAAAGUCAAAUCAUUACUCAUCUGUUAAGUAGGACUCUAAUGAUAGAAAUGAAUGAAAUGACUUGCACAACUGCGCGUAUAUCAACCUCUACAGGCCUCUGUGUACAUGUUGAAGUGUAAUGAUAAGUUUUGGUACUUGCGUUGUGGGGAGAGAGAGAGUGUGUGUGAGGGAGAGACAGUUUUUAUGUUUUAUCAUAAGUGUGUUUUUCUAAUCAAGCUACCACCAAAUAUUUGAAAAUCUUUUGCUCAAAUAUGUAACAGUGCUGCAAGUGAAAAAGCAAUAUGUCAAGCCAUCUUCAUUGAUGAUGCAUAACUUUCUAGUCCUUGAGAAGUUGGAUGUGUGACCAUUAGAAUACUUCCUAUAGUCACUUCACAAAUUUAAGCUGUUGCUUUGAUACUUUUGGAACCCCAACUUCAAUUUCAUCAUGAUUAUAACCGCCGGUGAUUAUGCAAUUCAGUCUGUAAGAGAUAGCUUAAACAUGGAUGAGAAUGUUAAACUUGAUUAUAAUGUGCUGUAUUACAAGGAUGAAUUAAUCAAUCGAACAAGUUAUUUAACACUGCUCAUUGAGCAAGUGGAAUUCAUUGUAGCCCCACAUUUGAUUUAUAAUUUUUAAAAUUUGGUUUUAAAUAAGAAUGUUAAUUUAGUAUAACAUAAGGGAUGAAUUCACGACUGUGUCACAAGAGUUAAUCCUAAUGAAGUGAUAAUACUCUAGCUCAUAAAACAGUAAAAUAAGAAUGAGCUACGACUUAGGACCCACUAAGGCCAGACAAUAUGGUACAGGUUUUCUCUCACGAAAUGUUCAAAUGUACUAACAUGUCCAGAUGGGGCAUUUACAUAAUUUUUUGCAGGUCAGUGCUUACAAUAGCCGGAAAAUAUCUUCAAAUGGAGAUUCCCUGGUUCUUUAUCAAUCUGUAUCAAUUGAGGAAUUAGGGCGAUUCCUUGCUGUCCUCCCGGAGGUAAUUUAGCUCUUCAAAUCUGAAUAGACACGUGGUCAAAGGAAUAUCAUGGCUGUGUCUACCUACAGGAUACUAGUAAUGAACUCCCAGAUAUUAGAAGCCUCUCAUUGUUAUGGCUCUCACAACAUUUAGAUAUUCUUUUCUUUAUGAAAGUGAGAAAAGGGGGGGUUAGAUUCCUUGACUACUUAUAUUGUUUGCAUAUAAGUGAAGCCUUCCAAUCUUAUCAAAAAAUCCCGGGCCUUUGUGAUUGUUCAUUUAGUAUAUCCUCGGAUUACAUUUGCUGAUUAGCGUGAUUGGUUUUGGGUAAUAUAAACUUCUAUGGGAAGGAAGUUCUGAUAAUUAUGUUCCACACCUUUGGCAGCUCCCACCAGAUGUGCAACAACAGUUACUUCGGUUGCCAGCUGACCUGUUUGCCAAGUUGGUUUCUCGUGUUGCUGCAAGAGCACUUCGGAGGGUUUUCUCGUAACAUCAAUCCAUUAUUUAUUGAUUUUUUAAUGGGAAAACCACAUGAUAUUUAUGCUUCUGCUGCCUUUAGUAUUCUUUCACAAUGUAUUCCCAAAUUCUGGAAUGGGACGUCAUUCAAAUACAGGAAGAGAGAGCGAGUACAUGUUCUCUUGAGUAGGUGGCAAAAUGUAGGGCCACCGCCUUGCGUAAAUUCAAAGGUUUAACAAGGAAAAACAAAAUAAUUGUAUACAGGAGACUUCGAGGCAUUGAGUCAUUGCUGCAUGACUCCAUUAUUUUUCAAAUGGCUCCCAGCAAAAUGCUAGUAUGUGAUUUGGGUUUGUUUGGAUUUAAACUUAUUUGCAAAAUAGUUUUUAGUUGCUUCAUAAACACAUUUUUUAAUUAAUCUUUUUAUUUUUCUAAUUACAUUUUUAUCGCACAUACAUCACAUCAAAAAAAAAAUGUUACAUAACUUUUGCAAAUAAUCUCCCAUCCAAGCACAUUCUACUUCUUGCAAUGUUUUGUCCAUAGUUAUAAAAUUCGGUUCAACCCGACAAUCGAAUUGUCUAAAUUGGUGACUAAGCAAUAGGAUUGGGUUGGGUCAUUAAUUAGAUCAGACAAGUAAUAAACUUAUUGAUCAGUCAAUUAUUCAGCAGUUCAAUCGGUGAAUUGCAAAAAAAAAAUUGUCAGUUGAACCGUUAACUUAAAAAUGUUAUUAUUUUUGUAAUUUAAAAUAUAUUAUUACAUUAUCUAAUAUAAAUGCCGUCCAACCUGCUAUUGAACCACCCAAUCCACGGUUGAACUGAUCACCUCAUUUUAUAACUAUAGUUUUGCCUAUAUCUGCUUCCGCGAAUAACCCACACAUACAUAAAACAUUAAUAAUAUAUGUAGAAUGUAAUGAUCUUGAUACCAAAUGGAAAUAUGCUCAUGACGUAUAGUUAAAGUUUACAAUACCAGAAUACCAGUUUAAGUUUGGUCUAGUCGAUAGAAAGAACAAAAUUACUAAGAAUUCUUCCCCCUAUCAGGUUCAGAGUUCGAAUAUUGGAUCAUCUGAUAGUUGAAGAUAGAAAGGGUGUGGAAAGAAAAAAAGAAACUUAUUAAUCUUUUAACUGGUUAAAGGUUUAUAUUUAUUGAUAGCGACAGCUCAUGUAAAGACUUCAUAUGUGAACAAAUACUAAGAAAGGUGUUACUUACUAAUUCCGAAUGUUGCCCCCUUUUUUUUUUUUAUAAAUGGUGUAGCAUGCUCUGAAUUGAUCUUGAAGCGAUUUUUCAAAUCUGUAGUGCAUGUACGAGUCAGGCAACUUUUCCACCUAAACUGAAACAGCUUUAGGUUUUGGUUUUUCAAAUUUUUUACGUCAUGCUGUAGCGCAUUAUUGACUAGGUCUUUGUUCAUCUCCUGAUUUUAGUAGGUCAAUUCUCGUGCCUCAAUUGACUUUAAAAGCUGGAUAACAUUUGCAUUCAUAAAACGGCAGUAAAAGCAAAUUCCAGAAAGCAUCUUUUUGAGAAUAUGCUCCUAGUUUUCUGCUCAAAUAAAACUUUAAUAUGUGAAAGGAUGUUAAACAACUAAGCGAGACAUGAUGAUAUCAUCGAAAAUACUAGGAAAUAAUAAUAAUGAUUCCCCAAAAUUAACAUCUUUUUUUUUUUUUGCUGGGUAAGAUAUUUAUUGAUACCCAAAGGAGAUACAAAACUACAAGGGGCAUACCCCAGGAAAUACAAUCACAAUAAACCAGUUAGCAAAAGACUGCUACAGAUCCAAUUGCGCAAUGGUCCAUGCAUUAUAACCAUGGCGACAGCUUUUACAAGUUGGAACAACAAUACAUUCUGCCCAAAACAAAGGACUGCCUGCUUCCUUAGCUGUAGCUUGUGCAUGCAACUGAGGGUUUUCUGCUUCAAGCUAAGACACCAAACUUGACUGCAAUAGUAACACAAACGUCCAUCCAUCAAAGCCUGAAGAAAGCUAAGACAAAACCUGGGAGAACAAACAAAAAAAAAAAAUUUUUUUUUUUUGGCAAGUCUUGCAGCAGACAGUCAAGAUUCUUGCCGAAAGUGGGCUCAAGGAAAACGUAUAAUGAGCAUAAUUAAAAUCAGUUUCAAAGAUAGUCAAGGAAACAUGAAGAUCAACCCAGAUUUGUAUCAGCAAGAGGAACUAACUAAGAUAGAGAUUAAGUAUCCUGGUGGCUGAUUUUCAGUUGUUAUAAUAUAUAGUAGCAGCAUCAGCAUGAGAUGGUAACAAUAAUGUGACUACUGAAAUCGGAAGUGGGAACAAGGAUACCGUAAGAGUAAGAUCAACUUCAAAAGAUACUCGAAGAUCAACUUAGAAACUUCAACUAGCAACAUGAAUUAAGGUCCAGAAUGCGCACUGGACAGGCUAAAUUACAUUUGAAAUGAGAAAAAAUGAGCUGUACUGCUACUAGCAUAAUAAUGCAGUCAGUUCUUACUAAAUUUUUCUUUUACAUUCAUCUGUUUGUGCUUUUCUAUUCCUAACAAGUUAUAGCUAGUUGAUCAAGAAAGGUCCCCCUAAAAGAUACACCAAAGAAACGAGUAACAGAGACCCGGACAUCUAAUGUACUUUUUUUUUUGCCCUUUUCUUCUGUUGCAAAUAUAUCAUUAGCAAACUGAGAAUUCCGUACAAGGUAAACCAUUUUGCUCUACAACCCCAUGCUUCCAUUUGAUGCCCCUAUCAAUUUUGCAGCAGUUUACAUGUGGAAGUAUACUCAACAUCUUACAAAAUUUCAUUGUGCAUAUGAUGUAAGAAAUUCAUAGAUGACUUCACUGGAGAAAUUACUUUCUUUCGCAAAUUUUGAAGACAAUGUUGCUGAACAUAUUAUUCUUUACCAUACAAAGAUUUUGCGCAAACAUUUCAGAGAUGUAAAGCUUGAGGAUAGACUAUUAGACAAACAACCCUAAUAAGCUUUAAUGGAGAUUGGAGCUUUACCAAAUGAUUGCCUCCUCAAUUCAUAGCUUGAUCUAGGUUAGAAAGACGAAGAUACGUUAGUACACAAAAUGAAUGGACAGGGAAUAAACGUAGGAGCAAACUAUUUACAACUUCUCCAAAUAACAAUCAAAUCAAGUGAAAGACGACAACAUUUUCUGCUCUCGCUAAUCUCCUUUAGCCAAAGAAGACCAAGUUCCUUGAGCCCAAACAUCCUCGCCAUUUUUCUCGUAGCACUUGCGGACUUUGCUGCUGGCAGAAGCUGUUGGUGUAACAUCGUACUCAACUAGUCCAAGUGUUGGGAUAGUACAAUAAAUCCCUCAUCCUGGGAACGCUCAAAGCCUACUGAUAAAUCAUAUAAUGAUAAACUACAAUUUUUUGAAGAAAUGCAGAUUCCUUACAAUGAGACGGGAAUUAUACAAAUUCAUCUUUCUAGUUACCACAUGGAAAGAAUGCUAUGCUAAAGUAAGACAAAAUUGCUGAGUAUUGCUGAGUAAGACAAAAAUGCUAAGAUAAAAGAAUGCUAAAGUAAGACAAAACAGGGCCACUGUUUACUCUUUGCAAUUCCUGCAGACGAGGGGCUGCCAAGGUUUAAGAAUUAUAUGAUACGAGAUUCUGCAACAUUCAUAAGCUAUGUUCAACUUGUAUAAAACACUUUUGAGUAAAACCAGCAAAACUUCAAUUUACAUUAUUACUAGGCUAUGCAUCUUCCCAGG
rnacentral:lncRNA from 1 species